AGGGGUGUACCUUAGUGGUAGAGUGCUUAUCUAGCAUGUAUGAGGCCCUGGAUUUGAUUUCCAGCACUGCAA
rnacentral:tRNA from 1 species